rnacentral:rRNA from 1 species
UACGUAGGGUCCGAGCGUUGUCCGGAGUUACUGGGCGUAAAGCGCGCGCAGGCGGCGGUGCUGGCCCGGCGUGAAAGCCCCCGGCUCAACCGGGGAGGGUCGUCGGGGACCGCACCGCUUGAGGGCGGUAGGGGCUGGUGGAAUGCCUGGUGUAGUGGUGAAAUGCGUAGAGAUCAGGCGGAACACCCGUGGCGAAGGCGGCCAGCUGGGCCGUCCCUGACGCUGAGGCACGAAGGCGUGGGGAGCGAACGGG